rnacentral:lncRNA from 1 species
AUUUAAAAUGUUUCUGACUGAUGCAUUGCCCUUUUAGAUUCUGCAAUAUUUUCUGAAUAUAUAUUCAAAAUAUAUUGAUAUUUUUGUUUUAGCGCCCAAUGACCCAUUAAACUCACACUAGAGCUCUCUUAACUUCUGUGGAUGGUGGUUGUGAUGGUUAAUCUUAUGGGUCAACAUGACUGCAUCAUGCAGUGCCCAGAUAUUUGGCCAAACAUUAUUUGUGGGUGUGUCUGCAAGGGUGUUUCUAGACGAAAUUAACCUGUAAAUCUGGAUUUGGUAAAGUUGUUUGCCUCCCCAGUGUGAAUGGGCAUUAUUUAAUCUACUGAGGGCCUGAAUAGAAAAAAAAAAAGGUUAAGGAAGGCAGAAUUCAGGCCUUCCUGCCUGAUUGCUUGAACUAGAAUAUUAAUCUUCUGUUUCCCUUAGCUUCCCUGGUUCUUGGGCCUUCAGAUUUGAACUGAAUUACACCAUUGGCUUUCCUGCGUCUUCAGAAAAUGGCAUGUUUGGCAAUUAUGAAUAAAGCUGCUGUAAACAUUCAUGAGCAGGCUUUUGUGUGGACAUAAGUUGUCGACUCAUUUGGAUAAAGACCAAGAAGUGGGAUUACUGGAUUAUAUGGUAUCUGAUACAGUUGACUUACUCCAAUAUAAGUGUUUCUCUCAUCUUCCUCCAUUGUGCAGCUAUCGUCAAACACAUCAUAUUUCUAUUUGUUAUACACUCAACAUUACAAUUGUUUGCACAUUGUUUUAUACAACUGACUUCUAAUAAGUUAAAAGAAGAAAGGAAAGAAAUAUACAAUUAUACUAUCUUAUAUACUUAGCUACAUAUUUACUAAUAUUUGUUUAUUCCUGUUGAUUCAAGUUACUGUUGAGUGUCAUUUGCUUUCACUCUUAAGAAUAUUUUUUAGUAUUUCUUACAAAGUAAGUCUGCUAUCAAUGGCUUUUCUCAGUUUACUUUUUUGCGGGGAGGGGUGUUCAUUUCACUGUCAUGUUUGAAAGAUAAUACAGAUAGUGUAACCAGACAUAAGACUCUUAGUUGACAGAGUUUUUAAAUUUUUAAAAUGUAAUUUAACUUUUAUUUUUACUCAGCACACUGAAUAUGUCAUUCCUAUGUUAACUAUUAUUAACUAAUAAAAACAACCAUCAAGCAAAAAGUAAAGGUGGGUUGGGACAUUUCAACUUACAGUACCAAUUUCUUAUUAGGAACUGGAUUGUAUUUAUAGGAACUAAAAGGGAUAAUUAUAUUUCCCCUCUAAUAAUGAUGCUUCUGUUUUGAUAUGUUGGUUUAUUUUGUAUGUGAGUACUUCUUUUUUUUAACUAAAGUAAAACUUGCCUACAGCUCAGUGAAUAAAAUGCACCAAUUUAAAUUGUGCAGUUUAAUACAUUUGACAUAUGUGUGAAUCCAUGUAAUCACCAUUCUGAUACAUUUGUGGGAUAGUUCCAGUACCAUAGAAAAUUCCUUUGUGCUCCUUCCUGAUUAAUGCUUUUCCCCCAAUGUGUUUGUAAAAGUAAGAAGAAAUAAUUGGUCUAAAAUAAAUCUCACUCCACUUGCUUCUUUGAGUCAAAUUUACUUGCUUUUUGAUUUUUUUUUCAGAAUAACAGUGAUUUCAAAUAAUUAGAACUUAUGCCCUAGUUGUAAUAACAGGUAACUAGGUUCAUGGUAAUCAUCUAUAUAUCCUAAUAUGUUAGAAAAUAUAUUCACUUAAAGUUAACUAGCUUAAAGAUCAAUGACAGGAUGGUAAGAAAACAGUAGGCUCAAAAAAGACCCGCAUCCUCCCCAAAAGCAGGAGUGAAUGCUAACAGUAGUUUCUCCAUGUACCACAGAAUGCUGCAAUCAUGCAGCCUUGGUUUGGUAGACGUUUGAAUCAAAGAGCUUUAGGCAAGAGUUGGCAGAGUGCAAUAUUAAAAAUAUAGUUAGCUAAGUCUUAGUAAAUAUCCAUAUGUGUAAUAUGAGUAAGCAGGCAAGUCAUGCUAGAAUGACCUCGUAUUCUUGGUGUUAAAAGACUUAUCACAUUAAUGGUUUUGGAAAACAAUGAAUGUAUCAUGUAUAUGAUUUUCACUGAGAUGUAUGCCACAGAAUGCUAUAAUAUCUACAUGAAAGCAGUGCUACCUCAGGUUAGGUGCCAUUAGUUAGGAGAGAGAUCAUUUUCUAUAUGCCAGAAUGUUUUGCAUUUCAUUCUCUCUUACUCCACAUUUUAUAAAUGCUUAGGUUAAUAUAUUCAAUGUAUAGAUGACAUACAACUUGGAUAUCUAAUACACUGAGUAAUAGAAUCAUAAACUCCAAACAUUCUGCAUUUCGGAGAAAAUUGAGAGUUUAGCGAGAUGAAUUUUUUAAGUGUAUUAAAAUCUAAACUGAAGAAGUUAACAAGAUGGGAAGAAUUGCCUUUAUUUGUAGAUGUAUGCAAGAGCACUAGGGGAAAUUCAAUGACCAACAAGCUCAAAAUAAGAUUGUGUGAAGUAAUGAAUUUUAGGUAAAAUCAAUACAAAUAUAUCUAAAAAGAAAGGGUGGGACUUUUUUCCUCCAUUCCUGGCCCAAUUCUUUGAAAUAAUUUUUAUGUGAUUGUUUCAAACCAUCUUAACUUUCUCUUAGUUUUCCUCUGCAUACAUGCACAUAUGUAAAUGCCUACUUUUAAGAGUACAGAUGAGAAAAAACAGGGAUUUGAAUUAGUUGAAACCGUAACUUAAGUAUUAUUUCCAGGAACUAAAGCUACUUAGCCAGAAUCAGGAAAAGGGCUGCUGGGAAUAAGUUUGUUAACGUAAAUUGUUCCAACAGCUGUCAUAUUGAUGUUACGCUUAGUUUACUGGCUCCAGAAGGCAGAAUUGAUACCAAUUCUUGAAAGAAGCAUCCAUAUACCCCAGUUAAUUUUGAUUAUGUCAUGAGAUUUUGUGUAGUAUUCAAAGAUAAAUUGUUAUUAUUGUUGGAAAAAGCGGGUUACUUAGAUUUAAACUUAGGUUAAGAAAAUUGAUUUAAAAAAAUAAGUUCCACUUUCAAAAGUUGUUAUUCUAUUGAUAAAUCUGUUUUUUUUAAUGCUGCUUUAUUUGAUGUAAAACUACUGUUUUGAAAAUAUUGACUGUGCCUAUGGAUUAAUGUAUCAAACAAAAUCACCCCAUGAAUAAAUCAAAUAUUUAUUUAUUUACCUGAAGUAUACAAAAGGAGAAUGACAUAAAGAUCAAUUAGCAAGGUUGAUAAAUCUGCAAGAAACAAGCUUCUCAGUCCUAAAUUUCAUCAUUAAAUCACUGAAACUCAGAGUUGUGAAUGACAACAUCUGAAUAGUGAGUGUCAACAUAGAUUUUCUACAAGCUUGAGGGUUUUUAUCUAGGAACAAUUCUGUUUGUAGGUCAUCCUGGAUAUAUUCAAGGGACCAUUAUUUUUGGUAUUAUACAAUAUAACUUGAUGUUCUCAUAGUCAAAUGUGAAUGCAUUUCUCAUACUUUAUCUGAAUCCUCCCAAAUUAACAAUGUGGUCCAAGUAUAUUCCCAAAAUUAGAGUUUCUGAGCCUGAACGGAAGUUAAGCUCCCAGAAAUCGCAGGUAGCUGUGUUAAUAAGUGGUUAGAAUAACUAGGGCUUAUCUUUUGUGUGUCCUUUGAUAAAUUUAAACAAAUUAAAUUCCUCUCCAAGAUAGGUCUGAUUCACAAACUUAAUGACUAUAUGCUUAAAUUUUCACCUAUAGUUUAAUGAAAUGUUUGUUUUUAAAAGAUGUUUGAAGUCUAAAAUAGACUCCCCAAACAGUGUCUGACAUGUAAUAAGUCCUCAGAAAAUAAUUCAUAAAUAUUGAAUGACUAGUAGGAUAUUAAAAUGUGGUCAUUCCUGCUGUUUACUUUUAUCUGAGGGCACAAAUGUCAAGAACAAUUCUAUAGGUGCUAGACCUCCUAUAUAGGACAUGCUAACAAGCUUGCAAAAGUGUUUAUUUCAAAUUUCGAUCUAUCAUCUACUUUCAGAGCACAUUAAGAGUUUAUGAGUGUUCAGAGAUUAGGAAGUGAGAAUUUUUUUUAUGAAGUGACUUGCCAGUGUACUUCCCAUUUCCCAAUAUCUUUCUGUGUCAAUAAGCAAAAGAACUUCUCUUUUACCUUAAGCCAAGUUUGGAUUCUGUCAUAUAUUGGCAAGUGUCCUCUGGGAGUUGGAGGUUGCAGAGGUGAACACUUUCAGUAUGUGAGUUUGUUAGAACUACACAUAACCACAGAGUAAAAGCAGAUGUGUAGAUUAAGCCACACUUCCAGCAAUGGUGAGGCUGAAGGGAGUGUUUCCUGUGGGCCGGAUGAAGAUCUCAUACAAAGCAGCCAUUUGGGAACCAUCCUAAAAUAAAAUUCACCUAAGACUGCUUCUUACCACAGGCAAGUCAGCCUCAAUGAAAAGAAGCUGGAAGUAUAGAGUAGAAAGCAAAAAAAAAAAAGGUACCUGGGGAGUUGUGAGGGGUGAGGUACAGUGAUUUGCAAGCAGGAUUGCCAAAGGAGACAUCACACAUCAGACAACUGCAGAGUACCCCAGGAGCAGAAUUUCUGAAAAACCCAUAGAAGUAGUCCAAAAAAAAAAAAAAAAA